UACGGGGGGGGUAAGCGUUGUUCGGAAUUACUGGGCGUAAAGGGCUCGUAGGCGGCCAACUAAGUCGGACGUGAAAUCCCUCAGCUUAACUGGGGAACUGCGUCCGAUACUGGAUGGCUUGGAUUUGGGAGAGGAAUGCGGAAUUCCAGGUGUAGCGGUGAAAUGCGUAGAUAUCAAGAGGAAUACCUGAGGUGAAGACGGGUUGCUAGGCCGACACUGACGCUGAAGCGCGAAAGCCAGGGGAGCAAACGGG
rnacentral:rRNA from 1 species